rnacentral:rRNA from 1 species
GGGGAAUCUUCCGCAAUGGGCGCAAGCCUGACGGAGCAAGACCGCGUGCGGGAGGACGGCCAAUUGGUUGUAAACCGCUUUUGAUUGGGAAGAAGAUCGCAACGUACCUAUUGGGACAGCAUGGAAUAACCCCGUGCCAGCAGCCGCGGUAAUACGGAGGAUGCCAGCGUUACCCGGAAUGCCUGGGCGUAAUGAUUCCGUAGGUGGUGAACUUUGUCUGGAAUUGGUACGUGCGGCAUGUGGACGAGCCGUCAGUGGAAACCGGCAGACUAGAGUGCGGUUCGGGUCAAUGGAAUUACCAGGGCCGUGGCUAAAUGCGUGGAUACCUGGAAGAACACCAGCGGGGAAAGCGCGUGACUGAGCCUGAAUUGACAUUGCCCCCUUCCAUCACGGGAAGCGAACAGGCUCAGAUACCCCACUGCCC